rnacentral:rRNA from 1 species
GAUGAACGCUGGCGGCGUGCCUAAUACAUGCAAGUCGAGCGGUAAGGCCCCUUCGGGGGUACACGAGCGGCGGACGGCUGAGUAACACGUAGGAACGUACCCCAAACUGAGGGAUAAGCACCGGAAACGGUGUCUAAUACCGCAUGUGCUCUUCGGAGUAAAGCUUCGGCGGUUUGGGAACGGCCUGCGCAUGAUUAGCUUGUUGGUGAGGUAAUGGCUCACCAAGGCGACGAUCAUUAGCUGGUCUAAGAGGAUGAUCAGCCAGACUGGGACUGAGACACGGCCCAGACUCCUACGGGAGGCAGCAGUAGGGAAUCUUCCACAAUGGGCGAAAGCCUGAUGGAGCAACGCCGCGUGCAGGAUGAAGGCC